UCCUGUGAUGGUAUUAAUCUUUGAGACCUGAUUAUCAUAAAUUUGAUGACAAACUCAAGCAUAUUCUUCUGAGGAC